UCCUCGAUGGUCUCACGGUCAUGAUUUCCGCUUGUCAAUCGAUGCUCUUCGAGGAACAAGCGCGGGAGACCUGGGUUUGACUCCCAGUCGGGGAG
rnacentral:tRNA from 1 species